UGGGGAAUAUUGCACAAUGGGGAAAGCCCUGAUGCAGCGACGCCGCGUGGAGGAAGAAGGCCCUCGGGUUGUAAACUCCUGUCUUUGGGGACGAUAAUGACGGUACCCAAGGAGGAAGCCACGGCUAACUACGUGCCAGCAGCCGCGGUAAAACGUAGGUGGCAAGCGUUGUCCGGAAUUACUGGGUGUAAAGGGAGCGCAGGCGGAGCGGCAAGUUGGAGGUGAAAACCCAUGGGCUCAACCCAUGAAUUGCCUUCAAAACUGUCGGUCUUGAGUGGUGUAGAGGUAAGCGGAAUUCCCGGUGUAGCGGUGGAAUGCGUAGAUAUCGGGAGGAACACCAGUGGCGAAGGCGGCUUACUGGGCACUAACUGACGCUGAGGCUCGAAAGCAUGGGUAGCAAACAGGAUUAAUACCC
rnacentral:rRNA from 1 species